GAUAAACAGCUGAUUGGCAUGAUCAGCUGUUUGCCGUGCUUUUAUUUUUCCAUAUUUCUUAACUAUUAAUAAACUAUUAAUGUAUAAUUGUUUCAUUUUAUAUAAAAGACCAAAAUUAGCAUUUAAAAUGGGUCUACACUGGCAAAAUGUGUGAGAAUAAAAGAAUUUAAACAUCGUCAUUUCAAAAAUUUCUAAAAGAUAGUGAGAGAAAAAUUAAAUGGUUUUCUCUGUUAGGAUUUAUUCAUAGCAUAAUAUUAAAAAGUCGAGCAAAAGAGAACUCAAGAACAGCUGAUUUUUUUAUAAGGAAUUGAAGAAAAUAUUUAAAAUCUGAUGAUUUUCACAGCCAUUUAUGUCGCGAUUUGUGGUCUUUCAGUUGUUUCAACAUCACCUAGGAAAUUAACAUUAAGAUAUCAGGAUCCUGCAUAUAACGAGAUAAGAACUAUGAUCUUGUUAGGAUACCUAUUCCGUCACAAUAUGAAGUGAAGAUAUUCAUGGUGUGGAAGUCGUUACUUUAAUUACAUAGUGCAUAUGAAAUUGGUCCUUUACAUCAUGUUUAAAAUUGACGUAAUGCUACUAUGCAAAAUAGUGAGAGAUGUGAACCCUAGGCAGAGCUACAGAAUUACUUUUGUUGAGAGACAAAUUAUGAUAGUGAUUAGAAUCGCAUAUUCUAGACUUUUACUUAAAAAAUGAUUUGUUCGGAAUGAACUUUUAUAGUGUGGAGGAAUACCUGCAAAUUAUAAUAUGAGGCCUACGUAUAUGAUAAUUUUAUUAUGAUCUGUUGUGUUUGUUUUUUUAUAUUUUGUAUUAUAUAUUUGUGUUAGCUUUAAGAAUUUAUUGACUAUUCCUAUACAAUUGUACAUUGUUUUAUGGAAAUAAAUAAAUGAUUGAUUGAUUGAAUAAGUUAGGAAACCAUACGAUCGAGAAAAAAACGGCUUCAAAGGCGACUGGGGAAUGAAAAUAUGAUAAUUUCAGUGAGGUCAAGCCCUAGAAGUCAUUUUCUUGGCUCGUACUAUUUUUUAAAGGCGCUCUAAGGUUGUAAUUUAUUUUUACAUUAAGUAAAUAUGAUUUUUAAAUGGUGUAGUUUAAGAUUGACCUCGCUAAAUUAUCAAUCGUCAUUCCUCAGCCGCCUUUGACGCCGUUUUUUUUAGACUAUUUGCUAUAACUAUGUUAUCUGUUAUGCAAAUACAUAUGUCAACAAGUAAAAAGCCAAUGAGAAAUUAGUUUCUGCUUGGAUCCUUACAGUGGCAUUUAACAAAAUAUAUAUUUUUUCAGGUUACAAUAUUUUAUUUAAU